AAAAGUUUAAAAACGGGAUUUUUUUUGUUUAUUUGAAAAUUAAGUGAUUUAAGGUUAAAAUUUUUG
rnacentral:tRNA from 1 species